rnacentral:rRNA from 1 species
GAUGAACGCUGGCGGCGUGCCUUAGGCAUGCAAGUCGAACGAAGACCCUUCGGGGUACUGAGUGGCAGACGGGUGAGUAACGCGUUGGAACCUACCUCUUGGUGGGGAAUAGCCCCGCGAAAGCGGGGGUAAUACCGCAUAAGAUCUUCGGAUGAAAGACCGUAACUGGUCACCGAGAGAGGGGCCUACGUCCUAUCAGCUUGUUGGUGAGGUAAUGGCUCACCAAGGCGAUGACGGGUAGGGGGCGUGAGAGCGUGUCCCCCCACAAGGUCACUGAGACACGGGGCCUACACCUACGGGUGGCAGCAACUAGGAAUAUUGCGCAAUGGACGAAAGUCUGACGCAGCGACGCCGCGUGAUGGAAGAAGCCCUUCGGGGUGUAAACAUCUGUGGCAGGGGAAGAAGAUCUGACGGUACCCUGCUAGAAAGCACCUGCAAACUACGUG